rnacentral:rRNA from 1 species
GAUGAACGCUGGCGGCGUGCCUAAUACAUGCAAGUCGAGCGAACGGACGAGAAGCUUGCUUCUCUGAUGUUAGCGGCGGACGGGUGAGUAACACGUGGAUAACCUACCUAUAAGACUGGGAUAACUUCGGGAAACCGGAGCUAAUACCGGAUAAUAUUUUGAACCGCAUGGUUCAAAAGUGAAAGACGGUCUUGCUGUCACUUAUAGAUGAUCCGCGCUGCAUUAGCUAGUUGGUAAGGUAACGGCUUACCAAGGCAACGAUGCAUAGCCGACCUGAGAGGGUGAUCGGCCACACUGGAACUGAGACACGGUCCAGACUCCUACGGGAGGCAGCAGUAGGGAAUCUUCCGCGAUGGGCGAAAGCCUGACGGAGCAACGCCGCGUGAGUGAUGAAGGUCUUCGGAUCGUAAAACUCUGUUAUUAGGGAAGAACAUAUGUGUAAGUAACUGUGCACAUCUUGACGGUACCUAAUCAGAAAGCCACGGCUAACUACGUG